AACGCGAUCGUUUUGCACUAAAAUUUAUUUGUUUUUGUUAAGUUUUUGUGUGUAAAAAUUAAUUUUCAAAAAAGUUUUUUAAAAAGUUUGUAGGUGUCCCUCUAUUGGCAAAAUUUAGAAUUUUUGAAAUAUUUUUGUCGUCUAGGGAUAAACGUGGCAUGUAUUAAUCAGUAAUAAAGAAGCCCGUUGAUUUUUAUUAUAUAUUUUCCAUGAUUAAAAAACAAAUUCACUUCAAUAAGGUUUAUGUAUUAACAAUAACACAUUAUACAAUAAAAGCAUAUUAACGGUGUAUUAACGUUGUGUUUUGUAUAUAUAGUACUAUAUACAAAUACUAUAUAUAAGUACACGCUGCCAGUACACGAUAUACCAUCCAACGACAGUCGUCUGCUAGGCGUACUUCGUGGAAAACGUUGGUUAGGCCCCUCCCCUUUCAGGGCGGAGCAAGCCAUUCCACGAUGGUUUUCCACGAUAUACCAGUACACGGUACACGGUACGCGUACACGAUAUACCGCGUCCCUAGUUUUCUUUCGUUUCUCUGUCUUCAUUGUUCAUUCGCGAAAAGCGUGAAUAUUGUUUAGGUGGCAGCCAAGGUGAAUUUACGAGCCGCUGGGUUAAUAACAGAGAUGUGUCUGAAAAAUAGAACAUCUACUGCAGUGCUAUUGCAUAUGGGAAACUUCUAACCAAAAACAACUAGGCCUAUGAAGUGGAUCAAAUGCCUAAAACAAGGGUAUUUCCCAGUUAUGCUGAUUGCACUGGAAGCUGCCAAUCAAAUUCCAUGAAUUCCUGUAAAUAGCUUAUGAAUAUCCCUAAAAAUAGUUGUCACUUGUCCUGGCAUCGAAUGCCUGCACUGUUAAUACAAAAACAGCAUUAACCAUUGUGAAAAUGGAUAUAAGAUGAAUACAGGAAAUUUCUGUACCACUUUCA